CCUACGGGAGGCAGCAGUAGGGAAUAUUGCUCAAUGGGGGAAACCCUGAAGCAGCAACGCAGCGUGGAGGAUGAAGGUUUUCGGAUUGUAAACCCCUUUUGUUAGAGAAGAAAAUGACGGUAUCUAACGAAUAAGCACCGGCUAACUCCGUGCCAGCCGCCGGGGUAAUACGGAGGGAGCAAGCGUGACUCGGAAUCACUGGGCGUAAAGAGCGCGUAGGCGGGGUAGCAAGUCAGAUGGGAAAUCCUAUGGGUUAACCAUAGAAUUGGCUUUGAAACUGUUAUUCUAGAGUAUGGGAGAGGUAGGUGGAAUUCUUGGUGUAGGGGUGAAAUCCGUAGAGAUCAAGAGGAAUACUCAUUGCGAAGGCGACCUGCUAGAACAUAACUGACGCUGAUGCGCGAAAGCGUGGGGAGCAAACAGGAUUAGAUACCCCGGUAGUC
rnacentral:rRNA from 1 species